AGGAGGUAAAGCCGGAUAUCAGCAGUCAAGGCAAUCCAUUUGGAGUAUGCCAAGCCCCCCUCCCCAACCGGCUGAUGGACCGGGUUUGCUGCUCUUGUGAGCCCUGUGGACGUAUUGCAGGACUCUGUGAUGAAGCCCUGAACCUUUCUGUUUAAAGGUGCCAUCGGGCUGGCCUUUGGCAGCCGCCGAGGAGUUGCGGCGCACCUCGUGACCACGGCAUCGGCCUCCAAGCGUUGCUGAAGCUUACGGCCUGAGGAGCUGGGCAUUCUGAG